AAUUAUAACACGAAAACCGGCUGUGACCGACUCGUCUAAUUUCUACAAUCUGAUUCAGAGCUAACUUCUAAGUGAGAGAGCGAGAGAGCGAGAGAGAGUCCAGAAGAAAGAGAAAUCUAGAUCUGGUCGCUCGCGUCUCUGGACGAGAUUCGAGAAUGGAGCCCUAUGGCAAAAUACGAACCAUAAAUCGUUGCCAUUGCCUUGUCCGGAGCCGGAUCCGAACAAGGCAAUGAUUUAGGGUUUCGGAUGGUGCAGAGGGAAUGGUGAGAUCGUUCGUCUCUGCGUCCACGAUGAAGAUCACAACAGUCCACAACGUAGCUAUUUCGCGCGGAUUAGGAUCUGUGUCAGAUUACGGUGACCAGGAGCUAGUGAAACUAGAGGGGACUAGCCAUUUAGUUACCACAGUGAAGCCAGAGAUUUUAGGAGUCGAACCCUGGAUAACUGAAUGGUCGGCCCAAUCAGGCAUAAAAAUCGACUGCGUACAUAGAUAAAAGGCCUAGAGCGAAGGGUCCAGCUUGCUCUUAAAUCAACCGCUUAGGCGAAUGGCUUUACUUUGACUUUUACUUUGAGGUUCAGUAAAACAAGACUGAUCAAGUGUUUCAAUAUCAUCAAACUUGUUAGUAUUGUUGGUGGCGAAUUCAUGGCUACAAACGUAAUUGGGCGGCAAUCUCAGAUUUAUGGGCACGGAAUCAAUUGUGCGAUUAAGACAAUUUCAAGUUUUUAAGGCCAAAUUUGAUAUAACUACCCGUAUAUUCAACUACUUGUCGCAUUGAGUGUGCCCAAAAGUGUAAUAUGUAUAAUAAUGUAAGGCCCAGAAAUCGGUCCAAUAUUAAGAAAACUGGU